GAGCCUGUGGUGCAAUGGAUGACACAUCUGACUACAGAUCAGAAGAUUGUAGGUUCGACUCCUGGCUGGCUUU
rnacentral:tRNA from 1 species